GCUAGCGGUCAUUAGUUACAUUUCCGGAAGACCGGAAAUAAUAACUAAACGAACAAACGAGAAAUAGUGGAGGCUACCAGAACGAAGAUAGACAUUUUUCCGAAUAAACGUUGUGAGUGAAAAACGUAAUUACACAGCCCACUCCCUACCCGGUAUCUCACUAUACGACUUUGUAUGCGUUGUUUGUUGGCAACCUUGAUAUUUACGACGUUUUUGGACCGGAUUCCUGUUGGAACGUUCCACAAAUUAUACCCACCCUAUCGUUCCAAUCGGUGAUAUCACUCGCUCUGAGACCUUGAAAUAGUUGUUGGCCGCGGCUAUUGUGGUGCGAUAGGUAACAAAGCUUCGCGGGAGGCAGUUGUUGAUGUGUGCAGAUGGUCUGCCUUUCGAGCAUACUUUUGCUGCACAGUCAAUAGCGCACCGGACCUCGGGCUAGAAGGUCGAGGGUUCGAGACCUGCUCCCUGCUGUUUCAUUACAGUAUUCAAGAGAAAGACCGUUUUCUGUCAGGACAGACACCAGAAGAAUGGUCUGAUGUUGAACGUGACAGUGAUGAGAUUCAGAAAAAAGAGGAUGCACGUAAGUGUUUCCUGAAGUCAACAGAAGAAGAAUUUCUGAAAAACCUUGAAAUCAUCCAAUGCAAAUUACCAACGCAGAUCAUGCAGAACAAAAAGAGGCCAGAGAAGCGGUGUGAAAAGGCUACAGUAGAAGACCCCAAAAAGAAGCUGCGUUCUAAUUGUUGAUGAUGGUGACCAUAGAUGUGUUUCAGACAAAAAAGGAAAUAAAGGGACUUACACUGCCGACAGACCUACCACCCUGCAUCGCACUUCUCGCUUGUCUUUGAAGAUAGGCGGGGUUGGGCUUGGUCGAUCCUUGCUGGAAGGCCAGUAGGGGGCACUCUUUAUGCUGGUGUAAUGGAGAUACAAAUGUCCCUGACUCUUUUGUCACAAAAAAUCUCCUGACACCUAUCACAAGAAUAUAUGUUUUAACCCUGGUUUCUGGUUAAAUUCCCAAACUAGUUAUACCAUCAUGACCACCUAAUAAUCCCAGCUUCCAAUUGUGUUACGAAACCACCUAUCUAGUUUGUUUGAAUGUGUGCAUUGACGUAAGAAGUUAGCAUAUCAGGAUUUUCUCAAUUCUCAGUUUGGAUUCAAAUUAAAUUAGCCACACACCACAUGAUGAAUAAUUUGAGUUUGAAGCAGAAUUUAAUUCAGUGCAAUUGAAAGGAAAUUCACUCAGUCAUAGAACAUGAGAGUUUAUUUGGAGUCCAGAUAGUCCGUCUGUAUAUGCUCUACAGAUGGUCAUACUAUGCUAGGGUUAUGGCUAGAGUUAGGUUUAGGGUAAGGGUUAUGGUUAAGGUAAGAAGUUUAGGGUUAGGAUAAGGGUUAAGUUUAGGGAUAGGGUUAGUAGAUAAACUCAGCAAAAAAAUUAACGUCCAUUUUUCAGGACCCUGUCUAUCAAAGAUAAUUGAUACAAAUAAAGGGUUUAAACACUAUUUCCCAUGCUUGUUCAAUAAACCAUAAACAAUUAAUGAACAUGCACCUGUGGAACGGU